ACUGCAGCAUUUGUGAUGAAUGAAAUCAGUAGCCCCUCUGCUGAUGAUCCUUUGCUGCCGGUCUGCCGGAUACUGCACACAGACAGGAACAACCAAGAUACAAUGUCAUAUGUGUGAGGGGACGGCCUUUUUACAUUCAAGUAUGUUAGAUAUUUGCCUUUUAUGUGUGAAUUAAUUGUGGAAUUUUACUUUUGAGUUGCAAUUUGUUAAAUCCAUGUCUUCUUAGGUGGGGAGGAAAGUCAUAUAUACCGUGUCAAAUUUGAGAUUUGAGGGAAGCUAACUGGCCUUCUUCGUGAUAUCUGUAUUUCCGAUUUUAUUUGCUUUGUUGGUUUGUUUCAUGAUCUGUUUUUCUGGCCGCUAAACAGAAAUUAGGAUUUAAUAGAACAGGUAAGUAAAAUAGAGGUGAUAUGUCUAGAGACUGGAAACAAAUCCUCUUCUGUUUUGUGGUCUGUCAGAUUCUUCUGGUAGUCCGAAGAUCCCCGAAUUCCUUAAAAUUGGACCAUGGUUCGCAGAAUGCAAGAUGUAAUCUUUGAACUUGUAUAUGGCUACUGUAUACAGAAUUGCAUAAUCAUAGAAAGAUUGUGCUUGGAGGAUUAAAGAUACACCCUAAAAAGGGAAGUUUAAUUGCACGUCAAUCUGUUGAUAAUAUGAAAUGGGUCUUUUUCUUGAACUAGUAUAUGGUGUUAUGUUAAACGUGUUACACAUAUAUUGCCCUUUCAUGCUACAACAACAACAUACUCAGUGAAAUCCCACUAAGUAGGGUCUACGAAGGAUAGAGUAUACACAGACCUUACCACUACCUCGUGGAAGUAGAGAGGUUGUUUCCGAAAGACCCUCGGCUCAAGUGCGUCAAAUUCAAGUAAAAGAAGAAGACAAUGAAGAAAACAUAGCAGUUAAAUAAGAAAAGCAGUGUAUAGUCGAUAAAAAAGCAAUAACAACAACAAAAUAGUGGGGGUCAUGUACCCUUUCAUGCUACAUGAGCAAAAAUACCUUGAACUGCAAUUUAUUUCAUUAGAAUCAUUGCAUGUUCUUGCUAUUAUUGUGAAAAAGACUGAGUAGCUAUAAUAGGUUACAGGAAAAAUACUAUUUUGUAUUUCUGGGAUGCGCUACUUAGGAAUAUGUUCGUGUUUCGGAGGCCAGUUUAUGCUGAAAAGACACCUUUUUAGAUUUCAUAAACCAUACCAACUUGAAGUGUUUUAUCUGGUGGAAUUUGAAGUGCAGAAAUAGCUGCCCUGCUAUUCUUCUGAAGAAACCUGUACAAGUACUCUAUAGUGAAGCGAGCAAACCAACCUUUAUUUGCUUUGAGAAUGGUUCUUCCUAACACAAAAACGGGUCCUCUUUCAGCAGCUGCAUCUAUUUUUCGUUUUUCACUAGUAGACUCGGCUUGGUCUUGGAGUUUUGUGAUCAUUAAAGUAACAAAGUCAUCUCCUUCCAUGCUUUGAGAAUCCUUAUAUCCAAACUGAAUCAAACACCGAUAAAAUCCUUCAACUCCCGUCUUCCCCACAUUGUAACGUUCCUCCACCAGGACGGUUUUGAUGGGAAGAGUUCUAACAGUGACAAUUACCAGGAUUUCUCUUACAGAAUUUGUGUGCUGAAUGUAAUGACAGAUUAUGGGUGGAAUGCCAUUUCUGAGAUCAGUGAAAAAGAAGCAAAUUCCUGGUGCUCGGUAUGUACUAUAGCUUGAUAGCAUUUGGUCUAGAUCAGGUAAACUCAUCUUUCUAUCUGCUUCAUAUUCUUUUUUCUUACUCCUUCCAUAUGUCCAAGAUAGCAUGAUAGUCAAGAAGAAAGCAGAAAUAGCAAAUGGCACCCAUCCUCCUUGUGGUAUUUUAUUGAGCAAAGAUGUCAUGAAACAACCUUCAAUUAUUAUAUAAGGCAAGAAAAAUGCCAAAAUGAGAAUGAUAUUUGUCUUCCAUAUGAUUAGCAUCACUAAUGCUGUCAAGAAUGUUGUUAUGAUCAGGGGCGGACCCACGUGGAGGUCAGGGGGUUCACCCGAACCCCCUCAUCGAAAAAUUACACUGUAUAUAUAAGGUCUAUUUCUGAUUUUAUGAGUACAUAUAUUAAAAUGAACCCCCUCAAUUUUUAAGAGAGGCAUGGCUCAGUGGUUAAGGGGUUCAACUCUAACCAAGAGGGUCUGGGUUCGAUUCCCACUUGCAACAUUUUUCCAUUUGUUUUUUUUUCUUUGAAAGGUUGAAUGGGCUCUUGCUUUGGGCUCAAAUCCAAUUCCAUUUCAUUGUUUUUAGAAGGCUGUAUGGGCUCUGGUUUCGGGCUCAAAUCCCAACUCAAUGAAAUGUCUCACUAUUUGAUUAUUAUUAAAUUUGAAAUUGAUUUACAAAAAUAUUAUAUAAAAAUAAAUUAAAUUAAAGUUAAUCGAAUGAAGAAAUUUAAAAGUCGUGUAUAAUCUUUUAAUAAAAUCUAAUUAAUUGAUUCCCGCCCCUCCCCCCCCUCUUAAAUUUAUAGUAUUUCUUUCUUAUUUUUUUUCAGUUUGAUUUUAAAAAGAUGAAAACUAAACUAAACUUAUUUGUUCUAUUCAUCAUUUGAUGAAUUAUUAUUAAAUUUGAAAUUGAUUUACAAAAAUAUUAUAUAAAAAUAAAUUAAAUUAAAGUUAAUCGAAUGAAGAAAUUUAAAAGUCGUGUAUAAUCUUUUAAUAAAAUCUAAUUAAUUGAUUCCCGCCCCUCCCCCCCCUCUUAAAUUUAUAGUAUUUCUUUCUUAUUUUUUUUCAGUUUGAUUUUAAAAAGAUGAAAACUAAACUAAACUUAUUUGNNNNNNNNNNNNNNNNNNNNNNNNNNNNNNNNNNNNNNNNNNNNNNNNNNNNNNNNNNNNNNNNNNNNNNNNNNNNNNNNNNNNNNNNNNNNNNNNNNNNUAAACUUAUUGGAUUCAGAUUACUAGUUUCCUCCUAUAUCUCGCUCAGUUUUUUAUCUUGUAAUUUUCACAUGUUUACUUCUUUAUAUUUCGAACCCCCUCCACAGAAAUCCUGGAUCCGCCACAGUUGACACCCCUUCGUUAGAAAACUAUAUUGUAUAGAUAGGUAACUUAUUUAUUUUAUAUAUAUGUGUUAUGAUAUUGAUAUCCUUUGAAUUCUUCAUGAAUUUACUUAUUUAUAUUUUGACAUUUCUUUAUGAAAAUUCUGAUUCGAACACUAAAAAUAACUAUCAAUAUUAAAUGACUGAUGACGACGAUCAUGCAUGAUAAAAGGAUGAUCAAGUGAACAACUCUAUCGACAAUUGCAUUGGGUAUCAAAUAAGGAUAAUAUACUUAAUAAUAUUGAUAUUUUUCUUUCUUUAUAGAAUAGAAUAAUGAGUUGGCACCUUUUUGAAGUUUCUUUUUAAGCACGUCGCCAAAAGUCAAAAUUCUUUUGGAUAUCCCUUUCUAUGGACGUCAUUUAGAUUUUGUCAUCUAUUAAUGAUUUUGUGCCAAUUAUUUAUAAGAUCGCAUAAGAUAUAAACGUUCUUUUUAACUUGACCUCAAUUGAUAUUUAUCUAUGUUUUUUAAUUUUGAAUGUAUAUAAGUAGACACUUGAAUUUGUACAAAAUUGAACAAAUAGACACAUUCAUCUUACGUGGCAUCCUACAAGUCAACUGUGUGUCCUACAUAUAUAUUAUGUCACGUAGGAUACAUAUAUAUAUCUAGGAAAAGUUAAUCCACAUAUACAUAUAAAAACAUAUAUUACAUCGUAUAUACGUAGAAAUUAGUAAUAUAACAAAAUAAUUACUAGUGAUGACAGAUUUGGAUUAUUUAAUAAUUAAUUUAAUUAUAUUUGAAUUAUUUAAUAAUUAUAUUUUUUUUGCUUUAGUGCAAAUAAGAAGCGUGCAAUUUUUGUAGUAGUACGUACCUAGGAUAUGAUCAUGACCCAGAUGACCACCACCCCUGUAGUUGAAAAAGAAAAGUUAGUUCCAUUUCUCAGCGAAGUACGCUUUAUUUGGACUUCCAGUUGUGGUUUAACUUAACAACAACAACAACAGAUCUAGUGUGAUCCCACACUUGUCUGGAGAGGUGGGUGGUAUGCAGACUGUACCCUACCUUUGCGAGGUAGAGAGGUUGCUUACGAUAAGACCCUCUCGGCUCAAGAAAAGCGUUUUUCAAACAUUUUUAUACUAUUAAUUUUACUCGUUUGGAAACCGACUCUCUACCUCCACGAGGUAGCGUAAGGUCUGUGUACACUCUACCCUCCCUAGACCUCACCUGUGUGAUUACACUAGGUAUGUUAUUGUUGUUGUUGAAUUAAUAAUAAUUUUACUGAUUAUAACAGGUUAUUUACCAUUGUUACAGAUUAUUAACCCAUUCUUGCUAUAAAAAGUUGCAUAUAAUUGGUUAUUUUAAGUAGCAUGAUAGUAUUAGAUUUUUAAGUUGUCGGUGUACAAAAAGAAAUCUGAGUGAUGCUUACCAUAGGCAUUUGCUAGUUCAACACCUCCUUUGAAACCAAGAACGAGAGUGACACAAAGAAUCAUGAGGAUGUAGUUUACCUCUGGGGAAUAGAUUUGUCCUUCAUGCUUGGAUGAAGUAUGUAUAAUGUUUACUCGAGGGAAGCAUCCAAGAGCAAGUGAUUGCUUUACAAUGGAAAAAGUUGCUGAUAUCAUGGACUGGCUAGCAACCACGGCAGCUAGAGUUGAGAUUACAAACAUUGGCCAGUAAACAGGUUUUGGUAGGGAACUGUAAUAAGCAUUGUUGAUAUUCUCUGGAUACCUCACUAGAUAAGCUGUUUCUCCGGCAUAGCUGAGAACUAGGGAUGGAUAAACUACAAAAGAAAAUGCCAACUGCAAGACUCAUUGUACAGAAAUGCCAUCAAUCAGAUUAACUUUUCUAAUGGUAGAUUAGAGUUCUUUGUUCCUUACCUGAAUUGCUCUUUUAUUGAAAUGACCUAAAUCAGCAAACAUGGCUUCCGCUCCUGCAUGACAGUUUAAAACAUGUCGGAAGUGAACUAAUUUUCUCCUAUUUCAUAUGCUUUUCUUUUAUCUUUUUUUUCCCCUCAAAAUUAGUUGUAAAGUUAAACCUGUAAUGCUUAGAAAUACUGCACCGAGAAGAUUCCAAGCAGUCUUUCCAUUUCUUGAAACAAAUUUCACUAUGUAGUGUGGAGAAAUGGCUUUAAGAACGGAUGGAUAGUACUCCAAAAUAUUGUAGAUACCGACUGAAACAUUGGUAGCAAACCACAAUAACAUUACGGGUGUGAAGCAGAAGCUAACUUUGCUUGUUCCACAGCGUUGAAAAGUGAAAAGUGCGAUUAACAUAAUCACAGACAUGAAAACCACAUGAUCUGCAGCCAAUAGAACUUUCAUUAAACCUCACGUUUUGGUGAGUAAAUGGAAGCAGAUCUGAACUAGCAAUAGAACUGUCUUUUGAAAAUUAUUUUGACUUUACCUUGUGUUAUCUUGGAAGAGAGAGAUUGAAUUCCUUGCAGGGCUGAGAGAACUGAUGUAACAAGUGUAUGGACAUGAGGCAACGUCGAAAGGAAAUAUAACUUGGAGAAAACAAAGGAAGAAUGUUACCGCAAGUAGCAGGAGUGAGAGCUCCAUCACCAAUGACCAUACAAGUUCCAAGUAAAACAACAAAAGUAAGAACAUUUUGAGCUGUGGAACUUUUCUCCAGGAACUUCUUAGUUUUUGAACGCCUAGAACUUCCACUCUCUUGGCUGUAAUAAGCCAUGCUCUCAUCAGAUUCCAUCCUAACGUUGUGGAUACUAAGUUUGCUUUGGAAAUUGAUAUGGCGACAGAGAUAUGAAUAGAGAGCAAAAGUACCGCCUUCUCCAUGAUCAUUAGCAUGGAGGACGAUGAAGACAUAUUUGACUAACACAAGCAACGUUAGAGUCCAAAAGAUUAGGCUGAAUGUCCCAAGUAAAUCAUCUUCAGUGAGAUUUGUCAAGCGAGUAGAGGAAAAUACAUUGACAGGAGAAGUGGCAAGGUCCCCAUAUACAACUCCAAGAGAUUGGUAAGCCAACAACAAGGUCUGCAUGGGUGGAUAUUCCUGAGAAAAAUACUCAAAAUCUCAAUAUCCUAUGAAGUGACUUAGAAGUUUCAAGGCAGUAACAAAAAAAAGUGUGAAGUUAUCAGAUUUUAUCGAAACUGGUAGUAGCACUAGCACACAUCGAGGGUAAAAUGAGAACAGGUUGCUUGUGAUGAUUUCAUCAUGUCCUAUGUCAACCUCCAGAUGCACCGGUCUGCAGGAACCAUGAUGACUUAAGGUGUUCAAAAGGAAGAGGUAGUUAUAACUUAAUCACAUGAAGGAAGUUAUCCCGAAAGACCUACACUCUCUUGAAAUCUAUGCAAACCUAGCAAAAGAUCGGGCACAAUGAAAGAAAAGGAUCUAUGUGGAUGAUACCAGUUAGUUGGUUUAAGCUUUAAUUAUGCUAAUAUGUUUACUUUCGAUCCCAAUGUUUGUUGGGAGUUUUUAGGUCUUGUUUGAGAUUUCAUGCGUGGGAAAUGCAGACAGCUUCUAGUGCUACAAAAACUAAUUCUUUAUUAUAUUUGAACUUAGACAAAGCUUAAUUGAGUGACAUGGACAAUGAGAAUUCAUAUAGCCGAGGAUUCACAUAGACGGUCUUAAAUAGAGGGACAGUGGAUAUUUCUUGGAAUAUUGAAGAUGAGAAAAAGUAAAGCUUACCUUAGCUUUGGUUAAGGGAGACUGGUAUGUCUGCAUAACUGUCAUGUAUGUUUCCAUAGCAGGUACUGGUUCUGGAACAACUCUCCUGCUGUUGUUACAAAGGUCAAUACGGUUACUAUCUUCAAGAUUGCUUCUACUUUCAAUAUCAUAGUUCUUUAUGCUGGAAUUGUUGCUUUUAACAUCUUCCAUGUUUUAAAUGCAGGACACUUCCAAUAUUCUAGUUAAGAAGUUGCCGUACAUUGUGUCAUGCUUAUAUAGCUUCAAAAAAGCCUCAAGGACUAUCGAUUUGCAAACAGGGAUAUCGAUUUGGUUGAUCCUAAGAAUAAAACAAAAGAUAUAAGUUAGUGCUGCAAAUUCUAAAAGCCACAAGUUGCUGGAGAGGGAGCAGGUAAAGGAACACAUCAUCAUAUAUAUAUUUUAGCAGUAAUUCCACCAAUUUGCAUACAAAUUUAUUUCAUCAUCCUGUUGGAGCACUUAUCGAUUCGCAAACAGGGAUAUGAAGAUAAAUUAUUGGUACAUUUUCUUGUUGACAUAUUAUAUUUUAUACCAAGGAGUGACUACACACUCUCACAAGUGACAUAUAACCAGAAAUUUUUAAAAAUCUGCCACUGUUGCUUUGUUGGAUGAACCUUAUCUAGUCUAGUCUAGUCUAGUUAAAUAAAUCAAGCUUAAAUUUUUGCAGUAAGUUGAUGACAAGUGAAAACUAGUAAAUCCUCUGAUUAAAAAGGUAAGCUUGAUUAAUGAACAAAAGCUCAUAUGCAAUUUUGCUGGCUUAUGAUUCUUUUGAUUAUGAAUUUUUUGUUUUAUUAUAGGUAUAUAUAUCAGUGUUGACACAUCUUGACCUAAGCUGGUCCAAUGUAAUGGUUAAGGUGUUGCACAACUUUCUUAAACUCGUGUGUUCAGUCCUAGCUAGCGACAUCAUUAUAUUUGCCUUUUUUUUACAUCUUUAAUAAAAAUCUUAACUCCGCCGCUAUCCGUCCACAUAUGUACAUGGAGGACGUAGGUAUUGCCGAAAGUGUUAAGUGAGAAGGAUGUAAGUUGUUCUAAAAGGGCUAACUGACAUACAAAUAUGUUAACUACUUUGGAAUCACACUUCUUAUUAAAUUUAGUCAAAGACGUAGACCUAUCUGUCCAAAAUACUCUUAUGAGGUAUUUAACUUUAAAUUUUAUUGGCUUUACAUGUGAGUAAAUCAAUUUGAUUGCGAUUUGGUCACUAUUAUAUUGUUCUUAUCUUUUCUCUAUCGUAUAUUCUAUUCAUAUUUACCUCUAAAUGAUUAAACGUGCAUUGGUGGAUCAAACUGUCAAAUAAUAAUAACACACCAAGUAUAAUUUUAGAAAGUGAGGUAGGGAGAGGAUAAGUGUAUGUGAAUCUUACUUCUACUUCAGGGUGGAGAGAUUCUUUCUAAUAGAUUCUCGACUCAAGAAAAAAAAUAAUUCAAAGCAAUCUAGAAAGGAAGUAACAAAAGUACAAGAAAUAUCAUAUAGUAACAAAAACAACAAAUAGUUAUAACAACUCUUUUUGAGGGUUUUUCAAUUGAAGUGAUGAUACUGAGAAGAUAUUAUUUUUACUUAUUUAGAGUUGUCACUUGGAAUUGAGUUAUGAUGUUCCAAGUCACUUUUUUGGAUCUCUAAUCAAAAGAAAAUACUCUUUUAUUUUUUGUUUAGCGAAAAGAAAAGACUAGAUAAGAAAUUUUAUUGACCGAGGGGAAGGUAUGAGGCACUCUUCCAAUCACGUUCGCUUUUAUUAACUUAUACUCAACUUAAAUUAUUUUUUGAAUUAUUGUUAUAGACUAUGAUUUGCUCGCAUUUAUUGUUGGACUUUUAUUGAUCUCAACCUAUAUUCUUCACCGCAUUUUUGAUCUUGACAUACACAUGCUUAGAGACAUAAGUCACUCUUUGCGAGAGUGCAUUGCACCUAAUAAUCUUUGUCUACCCGUUUGAUUUGAAUUAAUGAAAAUUAAUUAUUAGAACAAUUUGGGUGACUUUCUUUCAAGUGUUUCAGAAAAAAUGUCUUAUCACAUUCUUAAUUGAAACCAAAUUAUUUUUAAAAAAAAGAUGUGUCUAAAUUUGCCUCCAAAAUUAGUUUGUCAAUUUUUAAGUGUGAAUCAAGUGGUGCCAAACUAUAACCAUUCAAUCAAAAUUUGUCAAUCUAUCGUUAUUUCCAAAACAAUAUCAUCAAACUUUUUUUUUGUUUUCCAUUUUCGGUGUUUGGUACCCACAUUGGUGCCCGACAAAAUCCGAACUCACGCAUGGACGUCUCACAUACAGCACGACACUUGUACUCUUAGAAAAGGGUUAUAUUUACUCUUUGUUAUACUUUUUGGUUAUAUUUGCUCCUACCAUCCAACUUUGGGUUUAUAUUUCCAACUUUGGAUUUAUAUUUCACCCUUGAGUUGUUAAAUUCCACAUCACUCCCUUUUAUUAUCCUACGUGGCACCUACAUGGAUAUAAUCUUCUCUAAUUUAAUUAUUACACCUCACCCCCAAAUAAUUGGAAACGUUUUUUUCACUUGGUUCCUUUCAAUUCUUUGGAGUGAGGUAUAAUAAUUAAAUUAGAGAAGAUUAUAUCCAUGUAGGAGCCAUGUAGGAUAAUAAAAGGGGGUGAUGUGGAACUUAACAACUCAAAGGAUAAAUAUGAACCUAAAGUUGGAUGGUAGGGGCAAAUAUAACCAAAAAGUAUAACGAAGGAUAAAUAUAGCCAUUUUCUAAGAGUAUAAGGGCAAAUAUGACCUUUUUCCGAUAAUAAUAAUAAUAAUAUUAAUGAUGAUAAUAAUAAUAUUAAUAAUAACAAUAAUAAUAUUUAAUAUUAUUAUUAUUCAUCUUAAACAUGCACAUAGUAGUUAGUAAACUUGUUGAAAUUUUCUUAUUAAUUUCUUUUUUUGAAAAAAAAAACUAAAGCUAUGUUAGCAUCCAAAAGAUCAAAGCAACAUCCAUAUAUAACUUAUCACUUAUCACACAAUUGAACAAAGAACUCAUCCAAAUUAGUAAGGUACGAACACCAAAAAAUUUGAUAACUGAUUAAAGAAAAGAGUGAGAAAUAGAUUUUUAAGCAUGCAAGAAAUAAUCACCAUAUUACACCAAUUUUAUUUUAAAUUUAAUGAUAUAACAAGUUUAAAUAUAUUUCAAUAUUAUAAUGUUAAAGUUAUACACACAUAAAAUUUGAACAACUUCUAAUAUUGGAAUCAAGUCUUAUAUAAUUAUGAAAUUGAAUCAUACAAUGAAAAUUAAAUGCUACCUUUUGUGAAUAUUAAUUCACAAGAAGUAAAUCGACCACAAUGAGGAAGCACGAACUCGAAAUCGCAAAGGUAGACAUCAAAAUCCUCCUUAUUUUCCUUUUCUUUCCCUUUAUGUGUGAGUUUUUGUGUAUAAUAUAUUGGUUGUGUAGUAACAGUGUUAUAGAUGUAAGAUGAAUGGAUGUGUGUAAAUGGUUCAAAUGUGAAAGUGAUGUGUUUUUUUGUUGUUGUUGUGCAUGAGUCUGUGUAGUUAGGUUUGUGUUUGGGAUUAGAGGGAGAUAAUGGGGGAUAUGGGCAGUGAGUUCAGGAUUCACUACAACAAUAUGUAUUUAUAGCUAUGAAUUUAAGAAUUGUAGCUAUUACUUACUAAUAGCCGCAAAAUUUAAAUUUUAUAGUUAUUUACAAAUUCGUAAAAAAAUAUGUUAGCCACGAAAUUAAGCUACCAAAGCUAAUCUUUUCAUUUUUGCUACAAUUACUAGCAAUCGGGACAAUAAGUGCCUAAAUAGCUACAACUUUAUUGCUACAUUAAACUUUUGUGGUUGAUCAUAGGAUUUUGCCACGCGAUAAAAGUUAUUGUAGCAAUAGUAACCUUCUAGCUACAAUAAACCAUUUGAGUCAAAAUAUUGUAGCUUAAUAAAUUCUUUUGCUCAAACUAUAAAAAAAAGGGGCAAUAGUUAAAUGAUAUAGCCAUGACUUUUUUGCUACACUAAAAUUUCGUAGCUAUUAAUUAAUUUUUGCCACGAGCAAAAAUUUAUCAUAACAAUACUAAUCGUUUAGCCACAAUAAAUUAUUUGAGAUAAAACAUUGUAGCUAAAUAAAUAUAUUUGUUUCAAGUUACAAAAAUUGUUGCAUUAGUUAAAUGUUAUAGUCAUAGAAUUUUCGCUACGAUAAAAUUUUGUAGCUAAUUAUUAAUUUUUGUCAUGCAUUGAAACUUGUUGUAGCAAUAGUGACCUUUUAGCCAUGAAAAAAAGUUAUUUAAAACAAAUAUUAUAUUCUAAAUAAAUAUUUUUUGCUUUGAAUACUAAAAAAAUUGGCAAUAGUUAACUUAAUAAUAAUUAUAAUUAUUUAUCAUGAGGAAAUGAUUUAGCCACAAAUUUAGUAUUGUAAUAAUAAUUUGUUGCUUAUAAUUAUUUUUUACCACAAGUUGAUUGUUUAUAUAACCAUACUAAUCUUAUGUAGUUAGAAGUGUCAAUUGUUUGAUUUGAUUCAAUACUACAUAACUACUUGUGAAUUUCAAUUUCAAUUUCAAAUUUUCAAUAAAUAUGUGAUUAUAUCUAAUUAAUUUUAAUUAACUAAUUAUAUCGAACUUAAUUAUAUAUAAUUUCACUAAGUCUUACUAAAGCUUCAUCACAUUGAAAUGCUUCUAGAAUUGUUAUUUGACUUAAACUUAUUCUAUCAGAAUAAUAUAUUUAUUGAUUUAAUGUGAUUGAAGAUGUUAUUCAAUUGAUUUAAUUCAAUUUUAUAGCUUGUGAGCCUAAUUUAUUAUCUUAUUGCAAAAUAUAUUUUAAGGUGUUAUAAGUUGUAUUUUCUUUAAAAAGUAUGAUCAAAUUAUCUUUUGCUAAAUAUUGUCAUAUUUUAUUCAAAUACAUAAUAUGAAUUAGUUUAAAAUAUAGUUAGAUAAAUCGAUUGUUUAGUGAAUAUAAUUAAUACAAGUACAUUAAUAAAAAAACAAAUAAAAAAUUGCCAUUUCAUUUAUUUUUUCUAUUGAAAGUUUAAUUUUAUUUUUGAAUUUUCUAUUUUAAAUUUAACAUUUUUAGCCAUUUAAUUUUUGUUUUCAAUUCAAACUAAAAAAAUCAAUUCAAAAUUCACAUCCUAUUUAAAUUCAAAUUGAAGGAAUCAAAUGUUGUGGAACUAUAUUUUGUCACGACCCAAAUUGAGUCAUGAGUGGCACCCACACUUAACCUCCUAAGUGGGCGGACCAAGGAACCAAGGAAUCUAAACCCCAACACAUACCAAUAAUUCAACUACGAAUAACAACAAUAACGCGGAAGCUCCAAAACUUAUUAAAGUAACCAAUCAAAUAAACCUCUAAAGUCUAUUACAUAUUAUCCCAAAAUCUGAAAGUCAUCACAUCAAGGACAUCUAAUCUCUAAAUACUAAGUCUAAGAGUAUCAAAGACACCGAAAUAAAUGAAAUAAAGUAAUUUGUGUCCGAAAACUAUGGACAUCAGGUCAUGACCGAGAGAAUCCAACACAAGCUCGAAUAAAUAGUUCACCCUUAAACCUGAUAUGCUGAGACUAGCUAGAGCCGAGGGCGAGUCAAAGUCGCUGGUACACUCGCUGCACUCCAUAAAAGGAAAACAAAGAAAAAUACAAGUAGGGCUCAGUACGGGGCAACAUGUACUGAGUAGGUAUCAUCGGCCAACCCAAAAUAGAAACUAAUAUACAAUGAAUAAUAGUAUAAAGUCAACUAUAGCACUUAGCAGGUGAUAAGAAACAACAACAUGAACAAGUGACAGUUGAAGCAAGUACGUAAUCAAUCACAAUAUCAAGCACACACACGAGGACUCAUGCCUCCACAUCACACUNNNNNNNNNNNNNNNNNNNNNNNNNNNNNNNNNNNNNNNNNNNNNNNNNNNNNNNNNNNNNNNNNNNNNNNNNNNNNNNNNNNNNNNNNNNNNNNNNNNNNNNNNNNNNNNNNNNNNNNNNNNNNNNNNNNNNNNNNNNNNNNNNNNNNNNNNNNNNNNNNNNNNNNNNNNNNNNNNNNNNNNNNNNNNNNNNNNNNNNNNNNNNNNNNNNNNNNNNNNNNNNNNNNNNNNNNNNNNNNNNNNNNNNNNNNNNNNNNNNNNNNNNNNNNNNNNNNNNNNNNNNNNNNNNNNNNNNNNNNNNNNNNNNNNNNNNNNNNNNNNNNNNNNNNNNNNGAAUAUCACCCUAAAACAAUAAAAUGCAAACUAACUUAUUUAUGAUAAUAUAAUAUAGUUUACUUACUUAAACCCAUAUAUCAUCAUUUCAAUUAUGUCGUAAUAACGAACAUUAAAGCUAAGCUACUGAUUGUGAAUAUCACCCUAAAACAAUAAAAUGCAAACUAACUUAUUUAUGAUAAUAUAAUAUAGUUUACUUACUUAAACCCAUAUAUCAUCAUUUCAAUUAUGUCGUAAUAACGAACAUUAAAGCUAAGCUACUGAUUGUGAAUAUCACCCUAAAACAAUAAAAUGCAAACUAACUUAUUUAUGAUAAUACACUAUAACCUCAUUCUUAAAUGUUGAAAUGGCACACAUUUGCCAAUAAUUACUCACAAAAGUUUGUCUCCCACAAUCCUGCCGCUACUAUCCAUUCUAAAUUCCCAUCCAAACCUUAAUUAUAAAACAAUAAUUAUCACUCCUACUAUUGAUAACUACACUUCACCCUAACACUACUGCCAAUGCACACUCGUUCUUUCCAAUGUCUCAUCUAAUUACAAUACUAUAAUAAUCAUCAUAAUUAUCGCCUAACAUUCACUCACUAAAAUUGGACAAACAACAUAUUCAAUAGAUAAGACAAAUGGAUAAUUAAUGCAUCCCAAGGAUUUCCACUCAAUUAAUAUAAACCCAUUACAUAUUACUUAAGGAAAUCGAAGAGUUGAAGCAUUACCUGGAUGGCAGUCGCUUUUGGUUGACGCCGCAGGUAGUGUUUCUCUCGUUAGUGUUUUUAAUUAUCUAGGGUAACUAAUUAUGAACUAAUAAAUAUUAAAUCUUACUAAUUUUAAUGUUAUCUUCUUUAACCACCAACUAAAUUCAUUAUUAAAACAACUCCACUAAUUCCAUAUUGUAGUUACAAAUAGUCCAAAAUACCUAUUUAGAAUCUAUCGAAAAGUAUUUUAUGAAAUCAAAAGUUCUAGUACUCAAAACGACCAAACGGGUCGUUACAUAUUUCCACUAUAGUUGGGCGAUAUAACUUGAAUUUGAAUUCACAUUAUUGAUAAAAAAAUAUAUAUAUACAUUUUUAUACUAUAUAAUAUAAUAAUAAGUAAAGGAAAAAGAUAAUACUCAAACUUAAAUUUUACCAACCUCCUCCUCCCACCCCCCAAAAAAAAAAAUUAUAAAUUAUAAAAAACCCAAAUUUCUCUCCAAAAUUUUAAAACCCAAAAAAAAUACCCUACUCCCUCUUCACUUAACAGUUAACACAGCACAUUGGCACAUUCUGUACGCCUCCCUCCCCUGAGAGCUAUAUCUAUAGGUUUUACGAACUUAAAAAAAUUACAGAUUUGUUUAUUUCUUUGCUUACUUUGUAUUUUUUCUUAGUUUUUAUUUGUUAAACAUUUUAUUAAAAUAAUGGGAUAAGGGUCUGAAAAAUAACCUAACUUUGGUCGAAUUUGCUGUUGCGAUACUAAACUUUCAUGAGGACCUAUUACCUCCCUAGACUAUUUAAUACCGUAUUUUAAGCAUAUAUAUUUGUCCACAUGGACAUAAAAAAUAAUGCAAAAUUAUAAAUAGUAAUGUGUCCACGUGGGCACAUAUAUACCUUUAAAAUACACUAUUAAAUAGUUCAGGAGGUAAAAAAUACGGUAUUAAAUAGUCUAGGGAGGUAAUAGGUCCUCAUGAAAGUUUAGUAACGCAACAACAAAUUCGACCAAAGUUGAGGUAUUUUUCAGACAUGAAAGUUUAGUAUCGCAACAGCAAAUUCGAUCAAAGUUGGGGUAUUUUUCAGACCCUUAUCCCUAAAAUAAUUAUCCAAGACAUAUAUUUUUUCUCCUUGAAAUUAUAUAUACACAGUUGCACAUAUAAUUACUUGGUCUUGAUUUUGUUGAUACUAAAAUACUUUAUCAUUAUUGAUAGGCAUAUAAACGGCAAAUUAGAAUGGAUGUCGAUAAAGCUAAGGUGCAAUUAAGAUCGUGGAAGAAUAAAUAGG
rnacentral:lncRNA from 1 species